rnacentral:rRNA from 1 species
UACGAAGGGGGCUAGCGUUGCUCGGAAUUACUGGGCGUAAAGGGCGCGCAGGCGGCUCAUUUUGUCAGGCGUGAAAGCCCCGGGCUUAACCUGGGAACUGCGUUUGAUACGGAUGGGCUAGAGUUCGGGAGAGGAGAGUGGAAUUCCCAGUGUAGAGGUGAAAUUCGUAGAUAUUGGGAAGAACACCGGUGGCGAAGGCGGCUCUCUGGACCGAUACUGACGCUGAGGCGCGAAAGCGUGGGGAGCAAACAGG